CCAAGUCCCGACGCACUCCCCCCGGCGCCGGGACUCUCCCGAGAGCCGGACUCCGGCGCCCUCCCCCCGGGUGCUGGGGUCGGCUCUGUC
rnacentral:ncRNA from 1 species